rnacentral:lncRNA from 1 species
GGGUUAGUUAGUGGUUAGUUAGUGGUUAGUUAGUGGUUAGUUAGUGGUUAGUUAGGGGUUAGUUAGUGGUUAGUUAGUGGUUAGUUAGUGGUUAGUUAGGGGAUAGUUAGUGGUUAGUUAGUGGUUAGUUAGGGGUUAGUUAGUGGUUAGUUAGGGGUUAGUUAGUGGUUAGUUAGUGGUUAGUUAGGGGUUAGUUAGUGGUUAGUUAGGGGUUAGUUAGUGGUCAGUUAGUGGUCAGUUAGGGGUUAGUUAGUGGUUAGUUAGUGGUCAGUUAGUGGUUAGUUAGGGGUUAGUUAGGGGUUAGUUAGUGGUUAGUUAGUGGUUAGUUAGGGGUUAGUUAGUGGUUAGUUAGGGGUUAGUUAGUGGUCAGUUAGUGGUUAGUUAGUGGUUUAAUGACAUGGCUCCAUUGUUCUCCGCUGACCUUAAAUAAAACACCUGACAGGUUAGUUAGUGGUUAGUUAGUGGUUAGUUAGUGGUUAGUUAGGGGUUAGUUAGUGGUUAGUUAGUGGUUAGUUAGUGGUUAGUUAGUGGUUAGUUAGGGGUUAGUUAGUGGUUAGUUAGUGGUUAGUUAGUGGUUAGUUAGGGGUUAGUUAGUGGUUAGUUAGUGGUUAAA